GCUGAGGUGUGUCUGUGUCGCUAGGGUGACACCAAUGACAGGAGUGUCUCCCUCUGUGACUUCACAUCUGGUCAGUUUGGGGAGGGCAGGGCGCAUCUCCACAUCCCUCCCAUGCAUGCCAAGACAGAAAACCAGCUUCAGCCUUUCUGAAGAAUGUGUCUACAUGGAUUCCCUUUGGAUGAGCUCUUCAGUAGAAACCAGACUUUUAACGCGAGCUCCCUGUAACUUGAAGUAGUUGCACGGUGUUGAACAGUUGAGAUUCCCAUGGGUCUGCCAAACUGAGUAAGAUUGGUCCUGUGGCUUAAAGCACAUAUAUUCUCAUCAGUGGGUUGUUACUGAGACAAGUGUGUGUCAUUCCACUUCCAGAAUUUAGCAUCAGAAAUAGCUACAUCACUGCAAAAAACUCAAGUUAACAGGAUUUACUGAGAAGGGCACAAGAGUAGUGUAGCUACACUGUUUCAGACACCUGAACUUCCCCCAGCACAGUUCCUUCCCCCAGGCAAAGACAAGAUUCACAAGUUAUGCAUUCCUCUCGAGGCAGUGUCGGCAGAUGUUCUGAGAAGAUGUCAAACACACAACUACUGCACUGAACAGUCU
rnacentral:lncRNA from 1 species